GACGGAGGGUGCAAGCGUUGUUCGGAUUGACUGGGCGUAAAGGGCGUGUAGGCGGUUAGCCAAGUCUGGUGUGAAAGCCCGGGGCUCAGCCCCGGAAGUGCAUCGGAAACUAGUUAGCUGGAGCGCGAUAGAGGAGGGUGGAAUUCCUGGUGUAGCGGUGAAAUGCGUAGAUAUCAGGAGGAACACCGGCGGCGAAGGCGGCCCUCUGGAUCGUUGCUGACGCUGAGACGCGAAAGCGUGGGGAGCAAACAGG
rnacentral:rRNA from 1 species